UACGGGGGGGGCAAGCGUUGUUCGGAAUUACUGGGCGUAAAGGGCUCGUAGGCGGCCAACUAAGUCAUACGUGAAAUCCCUCGGCUUAACCGGGGAACUGCGUCUGAUACUGGAUGGCUUGAGUUCGGGAGAGGGAUGCGGAAUUCCAGGUGUAGCGGUGAAAUGCGUAGAUAUCUGGAGGAACACCGGUGGCGAAGGCGGCAUCCUGGACCGAUACUGACGCUGAGGAGCGAAAGCCAGGGGAGCAAAAGCGGG
rnacentral:rRNA from 1 species